rnacentral:lncRNA from 1 species
CCUACAGAGAGACGCUGCGCGAGCUGCGUGCACAUUUCCGGAAGCGCAAGAGACGUUCAAGUGGAGAUCAAUACACCUAUGGCAGCUUUCUUAUGCUCUUAGGCUUAUGUCGAUUUUAUAAACCUCUUGGAGUGCAAGCCGUCGAGGACCUUGUUUUUCCGGAGUACUUGUGGAUGAAAGAAUCGCAGUAAGGCAAUUUGCUGGAACAUUUCUUUGGGAACACAGUUUGUACGAAAGAGCUAUCGGCAUGAACAACAUCGCAGCCUGCUUGAUCGUUAUUACCCUCUUCGCUAUGAGCUCUGACUGGCAACAUCCGAGCAAUGUAAUGGUAGAAGCAGGACGAUUGUUUUCUUACAGAAAUUGCUUGAA